GACGUAGGAGGCGAGCGUUGUCCGGAUUCAUUGGGCGUAAAGAGCGCGCAGGCGGCUUGGUAAGUCGGAUGUGAAAUCCCGAGGCUCAACCUCGGGUCUGCAUCCGAUACUGCCCGGCUAGAGGUAGGUAGGGGAGAUCGGAGUUCCUGGUGUAGCGGUGAAAUGCGCAGAUAUCAGGAGGAACACCGGUGGCGAAGGCGGAUCUCUGGGCCUUACCUGACGCUCAGGCGCGAAAGCUAGGGGAGCGAACUGG
rnacentral:rRNA from 1 species